rnacentral:lncRNA from 1 species
AUGGCUGCUGUUUUCCUGGUGUUCCCAGGGUUUUUCCCGGUGUUUUUCUUGGUGUUUCCAGGGCUUUUCUCAGGAUUUUUCCCGGAGUUUUUCUCAGUGUUCCCGGUGUUUUCCCCAGGAUUUUUCCCGGUGUUUUUCCCAGGAUUUUUCCCGGUGCUCCCGGGACUUUUCCCGGGGUUUUUCUCAGGAUUCUUCCCGGUGUUUUUCUCGGUGUUCUUGGGGCUUUUCUCAGUGUUCCCGGGGUUUUUCCCAGGAUUUUUCCCGGGGUUUUUCCGGGGUUUCUCCGGGGGCUCCCCGGGUUUCCCCCCCGCCUCCUUUCCCCGCUGCCGCCGGAGCUGCCGGAACCGGAGCCGCCGGGGGUUGAGGCCGAAGGCUUCCAGCCUCUUCCCGCUGAACUCCCGGCCCCCCAAACGCACGGCCGCGCCCAGGGGGGGCCCCCCCCCGGCGCCGGGGACCCCCGGGAUUUUGGGGAGCCGCGGGGGGCUCCCCUUUUUCCGCCUCCUCCAGCCUCUUCCUCUUCUCCCGGUGUUUCUUCCCAAAUUUCGGCUUGGCCGGCGCCGCCUCCACCUCCUCGGGGCUGUGGGGGUGACGAUGAUGAUGAUGAUGAUGAUGAUGAUGAUGAUGGGGGGGGUCGGGGGAGGUGAGACCACCCCAAAAACCCUCCCGAGCCCCCCUCCCCACAUACUCAGCCGCGAGGGAUCUCAGGAUCUGGUGCUUCUUGCCGAGGUUCUUCGCCCGCCGGCUGUAAUUGGCCUGGUCCUGCCGCUCCUCCUGCUCCGAGCUGAUAUGGGGAGGGGGUCCGUGAGCCCCCCCAAAUCCCGGGGGAGGGUCCCGGGACCCCCCCGGAGCCCCCUCCUCACCGGUACAUGCAGGUCUUGCGCAGGGAGCACCAGCGGUUCAGCUCUUUGUCGUCGGCCGCCAGGAUCUGGGCGGGGGGACGCGGGGGGAAGGUUGGAAGGUUUGGGGAGGGGUCCCAGCGCCCCCAGGGGGGGUCCCGGGGGGGUUUUACCUCGUCCGUGGUGA